UUUAAUCGAAGCUUAAAAUACUUUUCAUAAUUAAAAUUUACUUAUUUUGAUUUAUAAUUUAAGAUCGAAUGCAAUAAGGUGGGUAAGCCACAUGAAAUUUUGGAGAAUGGGGAUGGCGACAACAUGUACCAAAGAGAGUGUAAAAACUAAUUGUAAUGAUUUGGAAUUUUGGAGAGAGCCAAUAAACUGAGUGUUAAUAUUUUAGGGUGAGUAUAGUGCCACAGGAGAUUUAAAGCAAAUAAUUAUAUUAAACUAUGUAGAAGAUGAACAAAAUAAAGCGUAAAAUCUAAUCUGGGAAUUUUUUGAAGAAGAUAAAGUGAGUGCUACUUAUGGGGAAAUUCUGCCUAAAUUGUAGCUCAAUUUAUUAACCUCUGAUUUUGUAUAUCAAUUACACGGAAGGUUUUAAGAAAAUAAUUAAAUCUUACUCGUUAAUUAAAUCUGAUGGUUGAUAUAGAAAGUUCUCGUUUCUCAUAUAAGAUAUUGGUUCUCACCGGAUAUGCUCCAUAUAUAUAUAUUGAAAUUCCCCUAUCAUUAGAAACAAGGUUUUCUGACAAAAUAAUAAAAUCUGGGUUCUAAGAUGAAGAUAUGAGUUUUGUUGAAUGUGAAGAUGAAUAGUUUGAAUUUCUGGAAUUUUGGGAAUUUUUAUGUAAAAAAGGUUAAUAAUGUUAACAUUUUAGAACAUAAAGGAUUAAAAUUGAAAAAUAAAAAGAUAAAGGACCGAAUUGUUACCUAAAAUUUAGUUAGAGAACUAAUUAUGUAAUUUUGCCUAAACCUGCCCACCUAACUAUCUGUUUUAACUAUUGUGUUUUGUUCUUUUAAAAAAAAAAAACUAUUGUGUUUUGUUGUAUUUAUAUUUUUUAUAUAUUUUAUCAUAGUUUUAAAAACCGGAUCGAUCGUCAACUCGGUAAGAUCACUGGGUCACCGAGUCAAUGGUUCAACCACUGGAUCAUUGGUUGAACCACAUGACAGAACCGAAUUAAAUCGGAUAGCUCGGAUUUAUAACUCGAUCUUUAUAAAAAAUGUGUACUUGUAUUAAACUGAGUUGAAUUAUAUUAAUCAGGAUCACUCAAUCACAAAAAAUAAAAAUAAAAAACUAAUAAAAUCUACCAAUUGUCAAAACUCAUUAAAAGUAACCAUUAUAUAUUUAUAUGUGCAUUUCAUACGUACACAAAUUCAUACUAUAUUUAAAUAAAUAUCUCAAAUUUAUUCUAAUUUUAAUAAAUAUAUUUAUAGAGAAACAACAAUAUUAAAAAAAAUUGUAUUUAAAUUAUAAAUAUAAUUAACAUGUUAUAAUUUAAAAUAAGAGUUGACAAAAAAAAAGAGUUAAAUUAACUAUAUAAGAUGAAAACACAACCGCUAACAGUUAAAUAUAAUUAAAAAGAAGCAAACUUCAACGAAAACAACAAGUGGUGUGUUGGUUAAAGGAUUUAAAGGCUUUGUUGCCGGUCUCCUGUUCAACUUUCAGCUAUGUCGAUUUUUGGAUUUUUUUUGAAAAAAACUUAGAAACGUGGUCAAAGGUGCGCAUUGACCUGGCCGGUUCACCAGUUUGGCCGGUUCACACUGGUUUGACUGCAUAACCGAUCUAAUAUACAACUCGAAUCAGUUACCCCACUGGUUCCAGGUCGAACCGGUCCGGUUUUUAAAACUAUGCAUUUUAUGAUAUACCAUUUAUUUCUGUCAAAAAAUAAAAGGAUAUACCAUUUAUUUCGGUUUCAUUCAUCAAUUUUUUUUUUUUUUUUUUUUGAGUUUGUUGUUUCAAUUUAAUUAAAUCUAACUUAUCUUAACUUAUUAAAAUUUCAAUCCAGCUACUUAGUUUUGAAGUUCUCUAAUUAUGACUUAAAUAGUGGUGAGAAUAGGAUGGACCGAACUAGUCUUUGCAAAGACUAAAACUGUUCUAUCCAAAAUUUUAUGGCAUGUGGCCUAUGAUAGAAUUAUUUUUUGGGAUUAUGUAUAACCUUUUGAAAAUUUGAUAUAGUUUGUUAGUCUGUCUAUAAUUGACUUUCAUAUUUCUACUAAUAUUUUACAAUUUGAUAUAGUUUGUUAAAUGUAUAUUAUUAAGAUUAAGACUGAGAUAGCUAAAUAUAAAAUAUACAAACUUAUAUUAAAACAAACAUGGAAAAUGUUUCUCCCCUAUUUGUAAACGACAGAAUUUAAAUUUCGUAUCAAACUGUUGUAAAAUUGUAUUAGCUAGUAGCAUUGUAUGAGAGUGGUUCUUGCGUGGGGAUGUAACAAGAUUACAACAGAGAAAUCAAAACAAGAGAAAUUCAUAUUUUAUUAUGCACACAUAUGUAUAUGUAUAUAUAUGAAUAUCAAAACAAGAUUACUUUUUAAAAUCAAUAUAUUAGAUUAACCUAUAAGCAAAAUAAUUCACAAUAAAAUGACUUAUGUAAAUGCAAAUUAAAACAACACCAAAAUAACUAUUUAAAAAAGUUGAGUCAGAUGAUUCUUCAAAGAGGCAAAUUUAUCUAUAAAAAUUAGAUGAAAUAAAUUUAUCAAUCGUGCGAUCAUCUUUUGACUUUCAUAUUUCUACUAAUUUUAUUUGAAGUAGCUAAAUAUAAAUAAUGUAUACUUAUUGUAGCAAAAUUUAAUUUUUUUUUUGACCCCAUUGGAAACCAACGAAACUUAUAUUUCAUUUGAAACAAUUUUUUUUUUUUUUGAGGGAUUUCAUUUGAAACAAUUGUAAAAUUGGUAAUCAGCUAUUGUCACGAAUAAUAAUAGUAAAUCAUUCCAUAAAAAAAAAUAAUAAUAGUAAAUCAUUUUUGCUUCCUCAGUUUUUUUUUUUUUUUAAAUAAAAAAAAACACCCACUAAUUUUAUUUUAUUUUUUGACAUAAAAAACCACUCAUUGUUAAGUUCUUCAUAAUAAGAACCAUUGUAUCAUGUACGAGAGUGGUUCUUGCGUGGGAAUGUAACGAGAGAAAUCAAAACGAAAGAUAUUCAUAUAUUGUUGUUAUCAUUAUUAUUAUUUUUAUGUGUAAAGAUAAUUCUUGUUUCAUUUAAUUUUAAUUGACAGAAAUAAUACAUUUUCAUCUUGCAGAGAGUUUUAAGACUCAAUAUUAUAUCAUGGCAGAGUUGGUAGCUGGGGCAUUUCUUCAGUCUUCUUUUCAAGUGAUUUUUGAGAAGUUGGCUUCGGUUGAUAUUAGAGACUACUUCAGUAGUAAAAAUGUUGAUGACCUUGUGAAAGAACUUAAUAUUGCACUCAAUUCUAUCAACCAUGUGCUGGAAGAAGCAGAGAUAAAGCAGUACCAAAUCAUAUAUGUGAAGAAGUGGCUUGAUAAACUUAAACAUGUUGUUUAUGAAGCAGACCAACUAUUAGAUGAGAUAUCUACUGAUGCAAUGCUAAAUAAGCUGAAAGCUGAAUCUGAACCACUUACCACCAAUUUAUUGGGCGUGGUUUCAGCUUUAACUACAAAUCCAUUUGAAUCUAGGCUCAAUGAACAACUGGAUAAACUAGAAUUUCUUGCAAUGCAAAAGUAGGUGUUGGGAUUGGCAGAAGGUCCCAGUGCUAGUAAUGAAGGCUUAGUCAGUUGGAAACCUUCAAAAAGAUUGUCAUCUACGGCUCUCGUGGAUGAGUCCAGCAUAUAUGGCAGAGAUGUUGACAAGGAAGAACUUAUCAAAUUUUUACUUGCAGGCAAUGACAGUGGAACCCAGGUUCCGAUAAUCAGCAUAGUUGGUUUAGGAGGGAUGGGGAAAACCACCCUUGCUAAGCUUGUGUACAACAACAACAAGAUAGAGGAACAUUUUGAACUUAAAGCAUGGGUCUAUGUUUCAGAAUCUUAUGAUGUUGUUGGACUCACCAAAGCAAUUCUCAAGUCAUUUAAUCCUUCAGCAGAUGGUGAAUACUUGGAUCAACUCCAACAUCAACUCCAACACAUGUUAAUGGGAAAGAAAUACUUGCUUGUUUUAGAUGAUAUCUGGAAUGGGAAUGUAGAGUAUUGGGAGCAGUUACUACUUCCAUUUAACCAUGGAUCUUUUGGAAGUAAGAUUAUCGUGACAACACGUGAAAAGGAGGUGGCAUAUCAUGUCGUGAAAUCCACCAUGUUAUGUGAUCUACGUCAAUUGGUCAAAAGUGAUUGUUGGAGAUUAUUUGUGACUCAUGCUUUUCAAGGCAAGAGUGUGUGUGACUAUCCAAAACUUGAAUCAAUUGGCAGGAAAAUAAUGGACAAGUGUGAAGGGUUGCCUUUAGCUAUAAUAUCAUUGGGCCAACUUUUGCGGAAAAAGUUUUCUCAAGAUGAAUGGAUGAAGAUAUUGGAGACUGAUAUGUGGCGUUUAUCAGACGUGGACAACAAAAUUAAUCCAGUGCUGAGAUUGAGUUACCACAAUCUCCCUUCCGAUCAAAAGCGUUGCUUUGCCUUCUGUUCCAUUUUCCCCAAGGGUUAUACAUUUGAAAAAGAUGAAUUGAUCAAGCUUUGGAUGGCAGAAGGUUUGUUGAAGUGUUGCGGAUCAUACAAAAGUGAAGAAGAGUUUGGUAAUGAAAUUUUCGGUGAUCUUGAGUCAAUUUCAUUUUUCCAACAAUCAUUUGAUAAAACAUAUGGUACAUAUGAGCACUAUGUCAUGUAUAAUCUUGUCAAUGAUUUAGCAAAAUCAGUGUCAGGAGAAUUUUGUAUGCAAAUAGAGGGUGCUAGGGUGGAAGGUAGCCUUGAAAGGACACGUCAUAUUCGGUUCUCUCUUCGAUCAAAUUGUCUUAAUAAAUUACUAGAGACAACUUGUGAGCUUAAGGGACUAAGGAGUCUGAUAUUAGAUGUCCAUAGAGGAACGUUGAUAAGCAACAAUGUGCAGCUUGAUUUGUUUUCAAGACUAAAUUUUUUGAGGACGUUAUCAUUUAGAUGGUGUGGUCUCUCUGAGCUAGUUGAUGAGAUAAGCAAUAUAAAACUUUUGCGCUAUCUUGACCUUUCUUUCACUGAGAUUACAAGCUUACCUGAUAGCAUUUGUAUGUUGUAUAAUUUGCAAACAAUCUUGUUGCAAGGGUGUGAAUUGACUGAGCUCCCUUCAAAUUUUUCCAAACUCAUCAAUUUACGUCAUCUUGAACUCCCUUAUUUAAAGAAGAUGCCAAAGCAUAUAGGAAAGCUAAACAGUCUUCAAACACUGCCUUAUUUUGUUGUGGAAGAGAAAAAUGGAUCUGAUCUCAAAGAGUUGGAAAAACUAAACCAUCUUCAUGGAAAAAUUUGUAUAGAUGGGUUGGGUUAUGUAUUUGAUCCUGAAGAUGCUGUGACAGCCAAUUUGAAAGAUAAGAAGUAUUUAGAGGAAUUAUAUAUGAUUUUCUAUGACAGAAAAAAAGAAGUGGAUGACUCAAUAGUUGAAAGCAAUGUGUCUGUCUUGGAGGCUCUUCAACCAAAUAGAAGCUUAAAGAGGCUUAGCAUCUCACAAUAUAGAGGUAAUAGAUUUCCAAAUUGGAUAAGGGGUUGUCAUUUACCCAACUUAGUAUCUCUUCAAAUGCGUCACUGUGGAUUAUGUUCUCAUUUGCCACCACUUGGGCAACUCCCCUCUCUCAGGGAGCUUUCUAUUUCAAACUGUAAAAGAAUAAAGAUCAUCGGUGAAGAGUUAUAUGGAAAUAAUUCAAAAAUUGAUGCAUUCAGGUCUCUUGAAGUUUUGGAAUUUCAGCGGAUGGAAAAUUUGGAGGAAUGGUUAUGUCAUGAAGGGUUUCUGUCGCUUAAAGAGCUUACUAUAAAAGAUUGUCCCAAAUUGAAAAGGGCCCUUCCUCAACACCUUCCUUCUUUACAGAAAUUGUCGAUUAUUAAUUGCAACAAGUUGGAGGCUUCAAUGCCUGAGGGUGAUAAUAUCUUAGAGUUAUGUCUGAAGGGAUGUGACAGCAUUUUGAUAAAGGAAUUGCCGACCAGCUUGAAAAAGUUAGUCCUUUGUGAAAAUCGGCACACCGAGUUCUUCGUGGAGCAUAUUUUAGGCAACAAUGCCUAUCUUGCAGAGCUGUGCUUGGAUUUGAGUGGCUUUGUUGAGUGUCCCUCUUUGGAUUUGCGUUGUUAUAAUUCUCUUCGUACGCUUUCAAUAAUAGGGUGGCGCUCCUCCUCCUUGUCCUUUUCACUAUACUUGUUCACCAAUCUCCAUUCUCUAUACUUGUACAAUUGUCCGGAGUUGGUUUCAUUUCCAGAGGGUGGUUUGCCUUCCAACUUGAGCUGCUUUUCGAUAUUCGAUUGCCCAAAACUGAUUGCUUCAAGAGAAGAGUGGGGUUUGUUCCAACUCAAUUCUCUGAAAGAGUUUAGAGUUAGUGAUGAGUUUGAAAACGUGGAAUCCUUUCCAGAGGAGAAUCUACUGCCUCCAAAUCUUCGCAUUCUUUUGUUAUAUAAAUGUUCAAAGCUAAGAAUAAUGAACUACAAGGGUUUUCUCCACCUCCUAUCUCUCAGUCAUCUUAAAAUUUACAACUGCCCUAGUCUUGAGCGCUUGCCAGAGAAGGGUCUACCCAAAAGGAGGAACGAGAGCGGUGGCAUACAAUUUGUCAUAUCACAAAUGUGAUAACUGAUCUAGUAAGGUUGUUGUAUUUUUUAUUUCUUUAAUUUAAUCUACUAAUUUAGAAAAAAUGAAAAAUGAGGGGAAGCGAGUAUUUGGGUGAUGUCAAUUUGCAGUUCAUGAAAUUUCGUAUGAAAGACCUCCAUACUAUUUAGUGGCUCUCUUUUUUUAAAGCAAACAGAACACUCUAUGUUUAAUAUGUUUAAAUUUUGAACAAAAAGGUCUUCACAAUAAGAAAGUAUUGCCUAAUUAGAGGUAGUUGGAUAUAAUGACAUAAUUGAUAUGUAAUUUCGUAUGAUCCAUAAAGUUACUUUGGUUCAAUGACUUUGUUCAAUUCCUUUUCAAAAACUGUUGUGUCAUUCAUUUCUUGCAAGCAUCCUUUUUUCAAAGGUCCUCUGAAACUAUUUUACAAAGUUGUCGUCUUCAACAAAUCGUCAUAAAUCAUAUUAAACUUCUAUGUCUCUUAAUAUUUUUAUAGAAGUUUGAUUUCCUUUACGUUUAGUUGUUUAUAAAUCAAUUUUACUUACUAUGUUGUUUUCUGUAAAAUAUAAUUGAGACUAGGAAUGAUGAGUCAGCAGAAUUUGAUGAAAAUGGACAGCUUGAUCAUGGAAUAAAGGAAACUAGGAGUAGCAGGACAAAUUUAACCAACAACAAGUGGAAGAAAUAUGUUAGAUAGAAGUGUGCAUUAAGAAAUAUUAGGAAACAAAGUAUCUUGAUUUCUGUUGUUUAUUAGGAGUUUCCUGUUUCUUUUAUUACCUUCAAGCUAUGAAACACCAAUAAUAUUUGAGAUAAUGGGAAGCAUAGUUUAUAACCACAUGUGAAAGUGUUGGACGCCAACACGCUUUAUACUCUGAAUAUGCUUUCAAUAGAUGCUCUGGUUCAACAACAUUCACAUUAUCAUUGAACUUGCGUCAUAACCAUGGGAUGAUUUGUGGAGGAAUAUGAUUGCAGUAUCUGUCACUGCUAUUCAAGAAAUGAUUAAAUAUGAAAUGCUGUGCAGUUUAACCAUAAUAUGGAAGGCUUUUGAUAAUACGGUAUUUGAGAACAUUUUCUCAUACAGAUUCUAAUUACCUUUUGGUUAAAUGUCCUUUUGACACUAAAAUCUGAAGAUUCAUGAUUCAAGAUUUGUAUGGUACUACUUACUAUACAUUCAUAAACACAAUUUUUACCAUUAUUCUCUCAAGGAGAAGGAACUAUAUAAUGAUGACCAUGAUAUGUGAUUUGUAUCACACACGUUAAUACAAAAUUGAAUCCACUCUGAAUAACUAUAUGUCCAUAAAUAGAUCAUCUACGCUUACAUAAUUGGUAACAGCUUGCUUCCAAAUCGUUAUAGCUUAAACAGAAACUGAAAAAAAGUCCAACACAGUGCACAUUGAGACUUAAGAACAACACCUGUAAAUGAUUAAUUUAAGUCCCAACAAAACUACUUUUACAUAGAUUAAGAAAAGUGGUUACCCUUGUUUAAUUUUCUUGAUGCUAUAAAACAAAAUAAUGAGAAAAUUAAACUGACUUACCCUUGUUUAAUUCAUAAGCUAUCCUAGAGAGCUUAUUAAAAUAAGCUGAAAACAGUUUGUGGCCAUGUCAUAGACGGUUUUCAUUUAUAAGCUCUAAAUAAACAGAUCCUAAGAAGAGAGAUUAUCAAUUUUGGAAAUGUAUUUUCUCUGAAAAAGAAAUGAUAUGCCACUGAUCUUUCAUGAUUCCUUUUGGCUUAAGUUCAUCACAAGAGAUUUCAAAUGUGAUUUAUGAAUAUGAAAAUAGACUCACAAGUGAUUUUAGACAAUAUAUUGUGUUGUAGAAGUGACUCAAAAUUGGAGUUUGGAGUGCAAAAAUGACGUUUGCUGGAAGACCCAAAAUCGGCGCCCGAUUUGUGGAGUUCGGGGCCCGAUUUCUGGCUGCCUGUGGAGCAGUUUGUUUCGACAAAAAUCGGUGCCCGAAUGGAGGAAUUUGGGGCCCGAUUUUGCAUGCAGUAUUUUUCGGAAACAUAUUUUUGGGGCAGAUUUGUUACAUUUUUAUGGGAGUUACUUUUGCUAUAAAUAUAGGCAUUGUAUCAGUGUAAACCUUGAGAUAGAGGGGGCUGAAACAAGGGGUUUGUGUAGAGUUUGUCUCUUCGGCAACAAAUACCGGGGUUUGAGGGUUGAUUCACCUUGGGAAACACUAUUAGGUUUGAGUCUCUUGGUUACGGGAAGAGAUUGGGGUUUUGGGUAGAAUUAGGCGGGAAACUUAUUCUUGUAACCCAUUGAUAUCUUUUUUGUAAAGUUACUCAUCAUAUAGUGAAACGGAGGGCUGCUCUCUCCCCCAGACUAGGUCAAUUUGGACCGAACUGGGUCAACAAAUUCUUUUGUGUUCUCUCUUAUUCUCUCUCGCUGUUUUCUACUUUUGACUUGUGUUUAUAAUUGUUCCAUACACUUUGAUUUUGGUUGCUUAAUUAUUCCUUGCUCCACACAUCAAAUUUGUUAUUAGUGUGAUUUUUUAUUGAAUUCACAACAUAUUGGAAAUUUUAAAUGAUUGUUUCUUCUAGAGAUUUUAAACAAUUUGAAUUAUUUAUCUUAUUCAAAGCAUAACACUAGCAGAUAUCUUAGAGAUCAUCGACUUCUUUUAAUGGUGUCAUAGUGACUCCUUCAAAAUUGGUAAGAUUGUAAAAUAAUAGAGAUUAAAAUAUAUAAAUAAAAAAUUUAUAUGUAUCUAUCGUUUAUAAGCUGAAGUACAGUUGUCUUGUAGAGUUUUUUAACAAUGUAGAAUAUUAUAUCAUGAAAGACUACGUACGAAUAUGUUAUAUUUUACCAAAAUUAUGUGCUACAGUCUUAUUAUACAUGUGAACAGAGUGCAAAUGGUAGAUGAUUAACGAUAAAUAAAUAGAAAAACGUCUAAUGGUAGAUGAUUAACAAUAAACAAAAAAACGUCAUAGAUGGUUAACAAUAAACAAAAAACGUCAUAAUGGUAGAUGGUUAAGAAUAAACAAAUAUAGUAUUUUGUGAACAAAGGACAAGUGGUGGUUGAUGAUUAACAAUAAACAAACAUCAUAAUGGGGGAGAGAGAGAGAGAGAGAGAGAAUAGAAUUUUUGUAGGUAGCAAAGCAUCAACGUUUCUGCUUGUAUUGUCAAAGUGUUGAACAUAUUUUAUGACAAAGCCAUACUUCUUUAACACACAGACAAAUAUUCAACAUGGCUCAACUGUUUUUCAAUCUGUUUAGGUGAUACAAGUUUACUUCAUUAGUACAUUAUAUUUUGUUAUAAAAUUUCAUUAAUAAAAUGUAUGGAUCAAGCAGGAUCACUUUGUUUGUGUUGUUAUGUAGUAAUUCAAAACAUUAUAUUAAAAUGUAAAAGAAAGUAUAUGUGACAAAUUUGAUAGGAUAUAUUCAAGUCAAUUGUAAGCUAUUCACAAGAAUUUGUGACAUAGAUUGUGAAAAAUAUAUUACUCUUCCAAUUCAAACUAUAGAUUGUAACAUGAAUUUGACUUAUAAAAAUUUUAAGUUACGUACGUUCUGCUAUGCUGUAUGUCACUUGCGUUGUAUACUUGCGAUGCAUAUCUCUCAGUGGCAUCAGGAGGGAGCGUGUGGUUUCCUAAUCACAUUGUUAUACUUAUACCAGAUGAUCGAGAUGUGGACUAGAAAACAAGGAGACGGCAUAAAGUUCUCCAAUUCAUAGUCAAUUUAUUUCACUUCAUUCGAGAGGAAUUACAUUGCUAUGUUUAGGCAUAAAUUACUAUUAACCUUUAUGUUUCCUGUUUAUUAGCCUAUACUAGGAUUUCUCGAAGGUGAAUAACAUAUAUCAGUGGGUUGCACAAAUUGAUUUAACCCUGAAGAUGCUGCAUACGUAAGUUUUAAAGAUAAGAAACAUUUAGAAGAGUUACAUAUGAAGUGGAGUUACGAAUUCAAUACCAAUGGAAGAGAAUUGGAUGUCUUGUGAGGCUCUUCAAUCAAAUAGCAACUUGAAGAAGCUCAACAUCAAACGCUACAAAGGUAAUCGUUUUCCAAGUUGGCUAAGUUGGCUAAAGGGUUGUGGAUUAUGUUCUCGUUUGCCACGACUUUGGCAACUGCCCUCUCUCUAGAAACUUCAUGUUUGUGACUCUGAUGAAAUAAAGAUCAUCAGUGAAGAAUUUUACGACAAUAAUUCAACAAUUUUUCCAUUUAGGUCCCUUGAAGUUUUGAUAUUUGACUAGAUGCAUUGUUUGGAGGACUGGUUAUGUCUUGAUGGGUUUCCUUUGCUGAAAGAGCUUUACACAAGAGGAUGGCUCGAAUUGAAAAGGGCUUUGCCUCACGAUACUAACACUGUCACAUAGACACCGAUAAUAACUUACGAAAAUGAAAUUGAUUAAAUGCAACCUCAUGUAUCGUUAUUGGACACCAACAUGUGUCGUACCUCAGAUACGCUUUAAGUCUGAAGUGUUAGUGCUACAAGUCCUGUUCUAGUACUACUGUAACGGCUCAAGUUCAAUAGUAUUCAGAUUGUUACUGAACAUGUCUCAGAAGCAAGUGAUGUUUCAUGGAGGAACAUGAGAGCAUCCUACAGACUAGUACCACUUUAUAGAUUUGGUGUCUUAUUGCAAUAUCACUGCUUCCAAUUUUCUUGCAAUAGCUUGCUGUUCAAGGAAAAGCUAAUUAUAAGCAAAGGAAACCCAUAUUUCUUCUAGAGAUUUGGAGACCCAUCUCUAAGUGAUCUUUAAGAGAUGAGAGAUUAGAGAUUGCAUGCUUGAGGUUCUAUGUUCAAAUCUAAAUUCCUCCAUUGUAAAAAAAUAAAAAUAAAAAAAUCACUAACACUUGACAAUUUUUAAAAUAUAUUUGUCAAUUCAAGUUUAAAGACUAUGUACAUAUUUCUUUAUAAUUAUAAUAAAGGACUAUGUUCAUUUAACGUAUACGUAAAUUUUUUUAUCAAACUUAUGUGACAUAGUCUUGAUUCAUGUGAACAAAGUGCAAGUGGUAUAUUUGAUUAACAACCCAAAUCAUCUUAUAUUUCCACUCCAAAAAAAUUCUUCGUAUAUUUGAUUUUAAGAAUAAAUUCGUCAAUUCAUAUUUAAAGAGUAAAUGCAUUUUUUAUAAUAUAAUAAAUAUUAAAAAUCGUGGUUGGGCCUAAAACAACCCCAUAAAACCGGCUUGUGAGGUGAGGAUUACCUCCACUUAUAAACAAAUUGUCAGGCCAACUCCUAACCGAUGUGGGACUCUUAACAAUAAAGGACUAUUUUGAUUUAACGUGAUACGUAAUUUUUUAUAUCCCUAGUCUUGAUACAUGUGAACAGAGUGCAAGUGUGGUAGAUGGUUAACAAUAAACAAAUAAAUGAUUGUGUGCAUUUAACGUAUAGUACGUAGUUUUUUGUUUUUUUUUGUUUUUUUGUCUUUCUAUCAAACUUAUAUGCCAUAGUCUUGAUACAUAUGAACAAAGUGCAAGUGGUAGAUGAUUAACAAUAAAUAAUUGAAUAAAAAAAAAACAUCAUGGUACGUAGUAGGUGUUGGAUUUUAGUUCCGUUGACGAGAUGAAGUUGUGUUAGAUUUGAUACAAAAAAAGUGCUUCUCUUUUACAGCCCUUUCUUUCUUCAUUCAUUCACUCACUCUUGUUGGUGAUCGAUCUUGAAACAAACUCAGGUAAUUCCCUCUCUAUCUCUAGCUCUAUCUCUAUCUCUCAUGUUAUAUCUUAAAUAAAUAAUAUUACACUAUUUUUAUGUUAUCUAUCAUCGUUAAAAUCUCACCGUUUAUUUCGAUAGAGAAAAUUUUAGAGCUAUGCUAACGUCAUAAUGGUAGAUGGUUAACAAUAAACAAAAAACGUCAUAAUGGUAGAUGGUUAUAAACAAUAAACAAAGGACAAGUGGUGGUUGAUGAUUAACAAUAAACAAACAUCAUAAUAUCCCCAUGAGCUUAGCUCAAUUGGUAGGGAUAUUGCAUAUUAUAUGCAGGGGCUAGGGUUCGAACCCCAGACACUCCACUUCUCCACAAUUUAAUUGUGUGAGCUCUAGCCACUAGGCUACUUGAAAAAAAAAAAAAAAAAAAAAACAUCAUAAUGGUAGUAGGUUAUCAAUUCUUUUCAUUUUUUAAUCCUUGUACUUGUCAGCAAGACCCUUUAAAUUUUAGAGUUAUGCUAACAAGUGCCCUCACUUGUUAAGAAAAUCAAAUUAAUAAGUUUGUAUUAAAUUCAACAAUUUUUUAACUAAAAAAAUCAAAUUAUCACUUUUCACCAUUUCCCAACAUAGUAUUUCAAUGAAUAAUUAUCGCACUAUAGAGCAGCGUUGUAUAUAUUUCUAAAUAACCAAUUCCCUAAAGACAUUCUUUAACAUUUUCCUAAAUUUUAUAUCAGGAAAAAUGUUAACCAGCUAGCAUCACGAAUAAUAAUAACGGGAAUGAUAACAAGUGUCCUUAUACCGCUUGUUAAGAGGACUAAUGAAGAAAUCUCAUCUCGAGAAUUAUGCAUUCAUUACAUUAAAACUUUAAAAAUAUAUUUUUUCUUCAUUAAACUCAUCAAUCAUUUCUUCUUUUAUUUUCUUAACAAGUGUCAUUAGCAUGUGUCCUACGGGCAUUGUUUAAGGAACCUACAAAAAGAGAUUAUAUCUUAAAAAUACAAGUACAACACUUGUUAAAGUCAUAAUAGUACAAUUUUCAAUGCAAAAGUUGCUACUUUUAAAUGCUUAAACAAUGCCCUUAAGGUGGUUUUUUUUUCUACAUUACCCUAUUUUGUUUAGGGGGUAUUUACCCCUUCAAGAUAUCAACCAGUCAAAAUAUAAUAUACAAAUGUAACAUUAAAUGUCAAAUAAAUGAGUCAAUUUUUUCUAUAAAAAAUAAAUAAAUAAAUUAAUCCUAUGGUAACUUUUAAUUUUUAUUUCAUUAUAUUUAGUAUACAAUCUUAAGUAAUUUACAUUGUAGGGCCUGUAAUAAUUAAAAUUUGAGUUUUUUUGAUUACAUCCAAGGUAUUCUUGGUUACACCCCAUGAUGACCAAAAUACCCUUAUUUACUUUCUAAAUUUCCAACCAUUACUUUUAACUUUCUUCCCUUCUUCUUGAGAAUUGCUGUUGACACAUUGCAUAAGGUUGAGGCACACAAGUAAUUUACGUUUUUGCCCCCUCGGCAGUUGCCGAGGAAUUAAGAAACCGGCUGCAGUUAACUGCCGAGGAAAUCCUCGGUAGUUAACUGCCGAGGAAAACAAUUAUGCAGACAGUGGGUUCUGCAUAAUUCUAAAGCAUUUCCAAGCCAUUUUUCGGCCAGUUUUUACCGCUAAUUAAACCAGAGCAUUUCCAAAGGCAAUAUAAAUCAUACAACAUUGAAACUCGGUCAUAAACAAGAAAAAUACAUUAUCUUUUACAAUUGUCCAUAAUUAAAUCAAACCGACAUUUGGUUCAAAUUACACAAACGUUUGAAAUUCAUUGAAACGUUACAAAAGUGUCCAUACUUAAGUGUCCAUAAUUAAACAACUCAUUACACAUCAUUAAAUUAAAUUCCUACUUACAUUCAACACAAUUGCAUAUGGAACGAACAUACAUAUAUAAUAUAUUAUCUUCCACCAUAUUCCGAAAUAUAAAUCCGACGACGCUAUCGUCACGAAUAAGCCAAGGCAUAUAGCUUGCCGUUUUCCAUGCGUAUUCGUCUCUAUCUUCUCCUAGGUCUAUGCAUGGCAUUUGACCAAACAAGUGACGUGUAUAUUGUGUUGGAACAAAAUAUGUUUCACAAUGAACCUUAUUGAGUUUUGAUGAUAACAAGGUAUUAAAAAUUGUCAAUUGGUUAUUACUAAUUAUUGUUCAAGUGUACAGGACCAAAGGCUAGUCAAGUAAUUUCAACAGGUUCUGGAAGAACAAUGAAAAGCAAAAAGAAUUCCAAGCAUCUGAAGAAAACCGCUCCUGAAGUUCAAAGUGCUUCUGAAGUGAUGACGUCAUCAGAAGCAGAAGGUCAUCAGAAGCAAAGUUUUUCAUCAGAAGCUAUAUCAUCACCAGAAGCUACAUUUAAUCCAUAUAUUCAAACUGAAGAUCCAAAGUAGCUGUUUCUCAUUUCAACCUUAUCUAAGAAGAACGAAGAAUUAAAAGGGAGGUAUCAACGGUCAUUUGGAUAGCUCUGAGCAGUUGUCCUUCGUUAACAGAGUUGACAAAGUACAAGUGUACAACCACUACCUCCACUACUCUGUUUUUGUCCACGCUACAAGACAAGACAACAGCUAUGCCUGCAGAAUAUGUGCCUUCAAGAUGGGAAUGAAUUUGAAGCUAAUUCUUCAAAGGACUACACCCAAAUCAGGCAAAGGAUUACUGGUGGAUGAUCAAAGGAUUUCAAACGACUCUUUAGACGUGCUGAUUAUCUCAACGUCUCUUUCACACCUCUAUAUAAAGGAGUGAAGACUUGAAGAUGAUAUAGAGAAAUAUACAAGUUCAAAAGCGCCAAAACUCUGUCAAACUGAUUCUACAAAGCACACUGAAUAUCUGCACUGAUUUGAUACAUCUUAGAAAUUCAAAGUCCAGAGUCUUUAUUGUAUUGUAUUGAGAACACCACUAAUUGUAUAUCAAGUGUUCAAGUCAAACUCAAUUCUCUGUAUUUUUGUUUGAUUAGAAGUCUCUUGCCUGCGUGCUUGAGCAUUAGAAGUCUCUUGCUUAGUGCUUGAGCAUUGGAAGACUCUUGCGUGUGUGCUUGAGCAGUUUUGUGAAGUCUCAUACUUUGAUAGUAUUGAGCAUUUGUAAUCUUUGUGAUUAUAGUGAAAUCUCCUUGGAAGUGCAAGGGGGACUGGACUACUUCCGUGUUGUGGAAGGAACCAGGAUAACUGCUUGUGUUUUUGUUUUUCUUUUCUCUGCUCUGUUCUUUCCGCUGCAUAUCUGAUUCUGAUCAUUUCAUCAGAAGCACUCACAGUUUGCUUCUGAAGGUUUAUCAGAAAAAGAAUUUUUAGAAAAAGAAAACACAAUUCAACCCCCCCUUCUUGUGUUUUUCUCACCUUCAAUUGGUAUCAGAGCUUGCUCUGUUAUCACAGCACUUAACCGUGUUACAGUUCAAGAUCUAUUAGAAAAACAUGUCUGGAGAUGAGGAAUCAGUUACUACAAAAUACACAAGUGUCAAGCAUGACUAUGAUACUGCUGACAAGAAAACAGACUCUGGAAAAGCUCCAAGGUUUAAUGGAGAUCCAGAAGAGUUCUCAUGGUGGAAAACUAAUAUGUACAACUUUAUCAUGGGAUUGGAUGAAGAGUUAUGGGACAUACUGGAAGAUGGAGUUGAUGACCUGGAUUUAGAUGAAGAAGGAGCUGCUAUAGACAGAAAAAUACAUACUCCUGCUCAGAAGAAGCUUUACAAGAAGCAUCACAAAAUCAGAGGGAUUGUUGUGGCUUCUAUACCUCGCACUGAAUACAUGAAGAUGAGUGACAAAUCUACUGCGAAGGCUAUGUUUGCGUCACUAUGUGCCAACUUUGAAGGCAGCAAGAAGGUGAAAGAGGCUAAAGCUUUGAUGCUAGUUCAUCAGUAUGAACUAUUCAGAAUGAAGGAUGAUGAGAGUAUUGAAGAAAUGUACUCAAGAUUUCAAACUUUAGUUUCUGGAUUGCAAAUACUGAAGAAAAGCUAUGUUGCUUCUGAUCAUGUUAGUAAGAUUUUGAGAAGCUUACCUUCAAGAUGGAGACCCAAAGUAACUGCUAUUGAGGAAGCUAAGGAUCUAAACACUUUAAGUGUUGAGGAUCUUGUUAGCUCACUCAAAGUGCAUGAAAUGAGUUUAAAUGAGCAUGAAUCCUCUAAGAAGAGUAAAUCCAUUGCUUUACCAUCUAAAGGAAAGACUUCAAAAUCUUCUAAAGCCUAUAAAGCUAGUGAAUCUGAAGAAGAAUCACCUGAUGGAGAGUCUGACGAAGAUCAGUCUGUGAAGAUGGCUAUGUUGUCCAACAAACUUGAGUAUCUGGCAAGGAAGCAAAAUAAAUUUUUGAGCAAGAGAGGUGGCUACAAGAACUCAAAGAAAGAAGAUCAGAAGGGGUGCUUCAACUGCAAGAAGCCUGGUCAUUUCAUUGUUGAUUGCCCUGAUCUUCAGAAGGAGAAGUCUAAAAGCAAAUCAAAGAAAUCAAGCUUCAGCUCCAGUAAAUUCCGAAAACAAAUCAAAAAGAGCUUGAUGGCAACCUGGGAAGAUUUGGAUAGUGAAUCUGGUUCUGAUAAAAAAGAAGCAGAAGAUGAUACAAAAGCAGCCAUGGGGUUAGUGGCAACAGUAUCAUCAGAAGCAGUAUCAGAAGCUGAAUCAGAUUCAGAAGAUGAAAAUGAGGUAUAUUCCAAAAUUCCUAGACAAGAACUUGUGGAUUCUCUAAAAGAACUUUUAUCACUGUUUGAACACAGAACCAAUGAGUUAACAGAUUUAAAAGAAAAAUAUGUUGAUUUAAUGAAACAACAAAAGUCAACUCUAUUGGAGCUAAAAGCUUCUGAAGAAGAACUAAAAGGGUUUAACCUCAUAUCAACAACAUAUGAAGAUAGACUCAAAAUUAUUUGUCAGAAGCUACAAGAAAAAUGUGAUAAAGGUUCAGGCAAUAAACAUGAGAUUGCCUUGGAUGAUUUUAUUAUGGCUGGAAUAGACAGAAGCAAAGUUGCUUCUAUGAUCUACAGCACAUACAAGAACAAUGGCAAAGGGAUUGGCUAUUCUGAGGAGAAAUCCAAAGAAUACAGUCUCAAGAGCUACUGUGAUUGUAUCAAGGAUGGAUUGAAAUCCACCUUUGUGCCUGAAGGUACAAAUGCUGUAACAGCUGUUCAGUCAGAACCUGAAGCUUCUGGUUCACAGGCUAAGAUCACAUCAAAGCCAGAAAACCUCAAGUCCAAGGUUAUGACAAAAUCUGAUCCUAAGAGUCAAAGGAUUAAAAUUCUGAAAAGAUCAGAACCUGUUCCUCAGAGUCUGAUUAAGCCAGAAUUUAAAAUCCCAAAGCAAAAGGAUCAAAAGAAUAAAGCAGAUACUGCUUCUGAGAAAACAAUACGAAAAGGUGUCAAACCUAAAGUAUUGAAUGAUCAGAAGCCUCUCAGCAUUCACCCUAAGGUACAAGGGAGGAAAAGUAAAGCCUCCAGAACUAACCCAAAAGGACCCAUGAAGAUAUGGGUACCUAAAUCUGAAUUGGCUAAAAAUGCAGGUGUGCCUAAGGGCAAGAGAGAAACAAAGGUCAUGGUACCUAGACAGCGGAUGUUCAAGGCACAUGACUGGAGAGAAAGCUUUGUUCCUUACCCUUACAAUGAAAGAUGGAGGAGAAGUGAAGUUUGGUGGCAACCAAAUUGGAAAGAUCAUUGGUACAGGUACUAUUGGUAAUUCCUCCAUCUCAAUUAAUAAUGUGUGGCUAGUAGAUGGUCUGAAGCAUAACCUAUUGAGCAUUAGUCAAUUUUGUGACAAUGGGUAUGAUGUAAUGUUUAGUAAGACCAACUGCACACUAGUCAACAAGGAUGACAAAUCCAUUACAUUCAAGGGAAAGAGAGUUGAGAAUGUCUAUAAAAUAAAUUUCUCUGAUCUGGCUGAUCAGAAGGUAGUUUGCCUUCUGUCAAUGAAUGAUAAAAAAUGGGUAUGGCAUAAAAGGUUGGGACAUGCUAAUUGGAGAUUAAUUUCUAAAAUUAGCAAGUUACAACUGGUCAAAGGAUUGCCUAACAUUGAUUAUCAUUCAGAUGCACUUUGUGGUGCAUGUCAGAAAGGGAAAAUUGUGAAAAGUUCUUUCAAAUCUAAAGAAUUGUAUCAACCUCCAGACCCUUAGAAUUACUCCAUAUUGAUCUUUUUGGUCCAGUUAACACUGCCUCUUUAUAUGGAAGUAAAUAUGGAUUAGUCAUUGUUGAUGAUUACAGCAGAUGGACUUGGGUAAAAUUCAUUCAAAGUAAAGAUUAUGCUUGUGAAGUGUUUAGCAGCUUCUGCACUCAAAUACAAUCUGAAAAAGAAUUGAAAGUUUUGAAAGUCAGAAGUGAUCAUGGUGGAGAAUUUGAAAAUGAGCCAUUUGAACUUUUUUGUGAAAAACAUGGAAUUCUCCAUGAAUUUUCUUCUCCUAGAACUCCACAACAAAAUGGGUUGUAGAGAGAAAGAACAGAACCUUACAAGAAAAGGCCAGAACCAUGAUCCAUGAAAACAAUCUAGCUAAACAUUUUUGGGCAGAAGCAGUUAAUACUUCAUGUUACAUUCAAAAUAGGAUCUAUAUCAGACCUAUGUUGGAGAAAACUGCAUAUGAACUCUUUAAAGGAAGAAGACCCAAUAUCUCUUACUUUCAUCAAUUUGGAUGUACUUGUUACAUCUUGAACACUAAAGACUAUCUGAAGAAAUUUGAUGCCAAGGCUCAAAGAGAGAUCUUUUUAGGUUACUCUGAAAGGUCAAAGGCAUACAGAGUGUAUAAUUCAGAAACACAUUGUGUUGAAGAAUCUAUGCAUGUAAAAUUUGAUGAUAGAGAGCCUGGAAGUAAAACUCCAGAGCAAAGUGAAAGUAAUGCAGGUACAACUGAUUCUGAAGAUGCACUAGAAUCUGAUCAACCUUCUGAUUCUGAAAAGCAUUCAGAAGUUGAAUCUCGUCCAGAAGCUGAAAUCACUCCAGAAGCUGAGUCUAAUUCAGAAGCAGAAACUAGUCCAGUAGAACAGAAUGAAAAUGCUUCUGGGGAUGUUCAAGAUAACACUCAGCAGGUUAUUCAACCUAAAUUCAAACACAAAUCUUCACAUCCUGAGGAGCUAAUCAUUGGAAGCAAAGAUAGUCCUAGAAGAACAAGAUCACAUUUCAGACAAGAAGAGUCUUUAAUAGGAUUGCUUUCAAUAAUUGAGCCUAAAACUGUCGAAGAAGCUCUCUCAGAUGAUGGUUGAAUAUUAGCUAUGCAAGAAGAGCUAAAUCAGUUUCAAAGGAAUGAUGUGUGGGAUCUGGUACCCAAACCUUGUCAGAAGAACAUUAUUGGAACAAAAUGGGUAUUUAGAAACAAGAUGAAUGAAAAAGGAGAAGUAACCAGAAACAAAGCCAGACUUGUUGCUCAAGGCUACAGUCAACAAGAAGGCAUUGAUUAUACUGAAACAUUUGCUCCAGUGGCAAGAUUGGAAGCAAUCAGGUUACUUCUAUCCUAUGCAAUUAAUCAUGGCAUAAUAUUAUAUCAAAUGGAUGUCAAAAGUGCUUUUCUUAAUGGUGUCAUUGAAGAAGAAGUAUAUGUCAAACAACCUCCUGGGUUUGAGGAUCUUAAGCAUCCUGACCAUGUUUAUAAACUUAAGAAAUCACUAUAUGGCUUGAAACAAGCUCCCAGAGCUUGGUAUGAUAGACUAUGUAAUUUCUUAAUUAAAAAUGAUUUUGAAAGAGGACAAGUUGACACAACACUCUUCAGAAGGACUCUUAAGAAAGACAUUUUGAUUGUGCAAAUAUAUGUUGAUGAUAUAAUAUUUGGUUCUACUAAUGCAUCUCUUUGCAAAGAAUUUUCUAAGUUAAUGCAGGAUGAAUUUGAAAUGAGUAUGAUGGGAGAAUUGAAGUUCUUUCUUGGAAUUCAAAUCAACCAAUAAAGAAGGAGUAUAUGUUCAUCAAACAAAAUAUACAAAGGAGCUUCUGAAGAAGUUCAAGCUAGAAGAUUGUAAAGUGAUGAACACUCCAAUGCAUCCAACCUGCACCUUAAGCAAAGAAGAUACUGGAACAGUAGUAGACCAGAAGCUAUACAGAGGUAUGAUUGGUUCUCUGUUAUACCUUACUGCAUCUAGACCUGAUAUUUUAUUCAGUGUAUGCUUGUGUGCAAGAUUUCAAUCAGAUCCUAGAGAAUCUCAUUUAACUGCAGUUAAGAGAAUCUUCAGGUAUCUGAAAGGAACAACUAAUCUUGGACUCCUGUAUAGGAAAUCUCUAGAUUAUAAGUUGAUUGGAUUCUGUGAUGCUGAUUAUGCUGGUGACAGGAUUGAAAGAAAAUCAACCAGUGGAAAUUGUCAAUUCCUGGGAGAGAAUCUGAUAUCUUGGGCAAGCAAAAGACAAGCAACUAUUGCUAUGUCUACAGCAGAAGCAGAAUACAUUUCAGCUGCAAGUUGUUGCACACAACUACUUUGGAUGAAACAUCAGUUGGAAGACUAUCAGAUUAAUGCUAACAGUAUUCCCAUUUUUUGUGAUAAUACUGCUGCUAUUUGUUUGUCAAAGAAUCCAAUUCUACAUUCAAGAGCCAAGCAUAUUGAAAUCAAACACCAUUUUAUCAAAGACUAUGUUCAAAAAGGGAUUUUAGAUAUACAAUUCAUUGAUACUGAACAUCAAUGGGCUGAUAUAUUUACAAAACCUUUAUCUGUUGAAAGAUUUGAUUUUAUUAAGAAAAAUUUGAACAUGCACUUUGUGUCUGAUUGAAAAAUUGCUGGCCUCUGAAUAAGAAGUUUUUGGUUCUGAAGUUUAUUCAGAAGCAGCUGAUCCAUCAGAAGCUCUUAACUGAGGUUCUGAGGAAAAUUUGCUUCUGAAGAUGACGUCAGCACUAAGACUUCAGAAACGGUUUUAUUUGCUUCUGAAUAGCAAGGUUAGUGGGAACGUUGGCAGUUACUUUUUGUAACAGCUGUCCCAUUACCCAAAGGUUAGUUUUCUGAAAAGUCUCUGACGCGGUCUAUUUGUAUUGGAGUAUAACAAAAAGGGCAAUGAUGUUUUAUCUGCAUUUAAACGUACUAACACGCGCCCCCAAUUUGUCAUUAAUGCUAUGUUUGUUUGUCUCUUUUGAAUUGCAAACGGUUUAAUAAAAACACUAAGUCAAUUCACACACUACUCACUUCACAACAAACACUUUCUAUUUUCUUCUAAACCCUCUGCGAAAGUAAAUGCAUUCUCUCAUCCUCUCAAAAACACCUUAGAACCCUAAAAUCUACUUCAAAUCAAUGGCAUCUUCAAGUUCUGCAUCUGGUUCAUCAUCAAACGAACAACAAGGAGAAGCUCCUGCCUAUGAGAUAAAGGGAAGAACCAUGUCCUUGGAGGAAUGGGAAUUAAACAUUCAAUCAGAAAGUCCGGUGGAUUUUGAUUCUUUGGCCGCUCACGACUGUGACGUUGGCAAGUACUACGAGAAACAAGGUCUGGGAAGGUACUUCAACCUUCUAAAUGGACCAACUUAUCAAACACUGGUUCGACAUUUCUGGGUUAGAGCCAGCAUCUACGACAGGGAAGCCGCCAAGAUUGAAGAAGAUGAAAAAGUUCUUCUCAAUCCUGAACUCAAAGGGAAGUCUAGAGCGGAAAUGGGCUUGGAAACUUUCUCCAAAACCCAGAUAAGAUCAAGCAUCAUGGGAAUCCGUGUCUGGAUCACUGAGGACACUAUUGCCUUUGUCAUCAGAAGACCAGCAGAAGGAGAACAUGAGGCUAGGAUUUCAAAGCCAAAGGACAGCCCCUGGAAUGCUAUUGUUAACAGAACUCUCUACAACAAAGUAAAGGACUUUGCCUAUUCUGACAUGAACACCAUGACAAAGGUUAUGUUGAAGAUUCAGAACGAAAACCUACUACCAAAAGGUGGUGGCAGUGAUCAGCCCUCUCUGGAACAUAAAAUUCUCUUACACUUUGUCAUAAAGGGUGUAGAGGCAAAUAUUCCCAGAUACAUUUUCAGACAUAUGGUUCAUCAACUCAGAGAGAGCCAACAUAAUAACAGGUUCUGGGUACCCUAUGGGAGGCUACUCUCUGAGAUUUUCCAUCAGGGAUGAAUUAUUGAUUUGCUGAAGGAAGCUCAGAUCUUCACAGAUGAACAGUUGGGAACUGUUAGAGGGAAAAUUAUCAAUGGUGAGACUCUAAGGUCUAUGCGUCUGAUUAAAGCAAAAGAUGUGAAGAAGAGACCUACUGACUUGAAACCUUCAGAUGCCAAAUCAGAUCUUAUUCCAAACUUUCCUCCCAUCUGUAAACAAGAUCCCUUGGAUGUUCAAAGGGAAUUCAUCAUGGACUUUUACAAAUCCUACAACAAGAAGAUUGACCUAAAGGAUGUCCCUGACGAAAUGUAUGGUGGUGCUUUGCCAGUGGCCAUAGGCAGAAAAUCCAAGAAUAAGCCAAUCACCAAGGAGGAAUAUCUUGCUGGUGAUGCUUCUGAGAAGGGUGCUCAGAAGCACCAGAAGGCUAAAAAUGUCAAACCUGCAAUGUCCACCAUUCAGGAAGAGGAGGAAGAUUUGGAUGUUGUCUCUCUUAUCAGGAAGAGGACAAGGAGUGCUCAAGAAACAGCAGAACAGCCUGCUUCUGAACAAACUGGUUCUGAACAAGCUGCUUCUGAAAAACCUCCAAGUCCCAAAAAGAAAAGAGAAGCUGCUCUUCAGACCAUCAAAAGGAAGAGGUCUAAAACAACCAGAAAUCUGAAGACAGCUGAGGGACGUAAAGAGCAGAUUCUGGAAGAACUGGUAGAGAACUAGGAUGAGGACAGAAGUCCUAAGAAAGCAAAGAUGACUACCAGUACUGAGCCUGUAGUCAUGCCCAGUUUUGAAGCUUCUGAGGAUCAACUGAAGUAUGCUAGAGAGAAUGCUUCAUCUAAGAUACAGGAGGAGAAAUUGCUGAGGCAGAAGUAUGAACAGCAAAGGGAUGAGCAACUCAAUGCUGCUAGGUAUGAACCUGAACCUGAAGUUUCCACUCUGAUCUCUGAGUUAGAGAAAGAAACUAUUCAGCAUGGAGUAACUCUGUUUUCUCAAGCCUUGAAGAAUAAGCAAGCUUCAGGAGCCACUUCAUCAGAUUCUUCUACAACAGCUCUAGAAGCACCUCAGUCAGAACCUCUUUCUUCAAGUAAUCCAUCUUAUGCUCCAACUAAUACUCAGAUUCCUACCUUUCCUACUCUACCCACUUCACCCUCAUCAGAUUCAUCAACAGAAUCUGAUGAACCAAACCUGAACAAAAACAUAGAUAAACUCCUCAACACCAAACCCACAAAAUUAACAGACUCUGGAACUUUUGAUUUUGAGCAGACCCAAAUUGAACUUUCUAAAAACAGGAUUAAAAUCUGUGAAACAUUCAAUUUGCCUGCUGAUCAUCCAUUUUAUCCAGAAAUACCAGAAGCUGUUAGUAUACUUCACCCUGAAACCAACCCUCAACCUAACCAAGAACCUACCCAAACCAACUCACAAAAUAAUCCAACUCCACAAAAAGCCUCUGAAGCAGUUUCAGAAGCAACUACUUCAGAAACCCCCCAACACCAAGAAUCCUCAACCCUUCACAACUUAGAAAAACAUCUAGGUGGUGAAAUGCAACCAACACCCACAAAGGCCUCUAAGACAAUCCCUAAAAAGACUGUCUUGGAAACCUAAACAGAAACCCAAACCAUCCCUGAGCAAACUGUUCAGGAGCAAACUGCUUCUGAACAAGUUGCUCCUGACCAAACAACUCCUGAACAACAAACAACUUCUGACCAACAUAUAGCCUCUGACCAAACAACAGAACAACAACAACAACCCGCUUCACCCACUUUCAUAGACUUAACCUCUGACCAACCUUCCACAUCAAAUACAACUCAAACUGAACCCUCACCCAUCCCUGACCAUAUCCUAGAGUCUGAGUAUAUAGAGGAACAGCUGAUCAGACUUAGUGAUGAGAUUCAGGCACUGAUUCUUCGCAGAACAGUUCUUGUACCUCCUAUUCACUAUUAUGAUCAGUGGAUGGAUCUACAGAAGAGCUUUGAUGAGCUGCUGGAUCAGCUUAGAACUAAGUGUGUCUCAUCUCACUCUGCCAUGCUGAAGAAGCUGUUGGAUGAAAUGCAUGAAGCAGCUAAGGUGAAAGAGCUGAAUUUUGUGCCUCUGCUGGACAUCACUCCUUUCUAUCAAGAAGAAGAGUACAUCACAAGGGCUGCAAGAAUUCAUGCUGGGCUUAAAAGAAGAAUGAGAGAAAAGGAUGAGCUACUUCAGAAGAAGGAUGAUCAGAUCAAGUAUCUUUUGGAACAGUUGUAUAAGCAAGCCCAACCUUAGUUGCACACCCAACACUUUUAGCUUGUUUUUACUUGUGUUCUAAAUUAUCAGUAGCUUUUCCUUUGUAUCUUAACUUGUCAAUAUAAUAUUAUCAUUGUUUCUGAAAAAUAUGUUCUACAGUUUUAACUCUGAUGAUGUUUAUUGUUUUUAAUGAUGAUUGCUCUGAUACAUUUUUUUAUGUUGUUAAGGUUAUAUGUUUAUAUGCUCUGCAACUCUUUCUUUUGUUCUUAUUCUUUUUGUUGAUGACAAAAGGGGGAGUAAAUGUAUAGUAUUUUUAAGGCACUGAGCCCCACUAUAACCACUUCAAAACCUUUUUAAAUACUUCUGAUGUUAUUUAUUUUUUUUAUGAAUAUUUUAUUGAAAUUUAAUUAAUAAGAAUAGAACUCAGGGGGAGCUUACAAAUCUCACCUUAAAGAUCUAUUAGACUCAGGGGGAGCUUACAAACCUCUAUCCCAGUAGUCAACUUAUUAAUUAGAUCAACAACAAUUGAACAGUUUAAAUACUAGUGUUUGUCAUCAUCAAAAAGGGGGAGAUUGUUGGAACAAAAUAUGUUUCACAAUGAACCUUAUUGAGUUUUGAUGAUAACAAGGUAUUAAAAAUUGUCAAUUGGUUAUUACUAAUUAUUGUUCAAGUGUACAGGACCAAAGGCUAGUCAAGUAAUUUCAACAGGUUCUGGAAGAACAAUGAAAAGCAAAAAGAAUUCCAAGCAUCUGAAGAAAACCGCUCCUGAAGUUCAAAGUGCUUCUGAAGUGAUGACGUCAUCAGAAGCAGAAGGUCAUCAGAAGCAAAGUUUUUCAUCAGAAGCUAUAUCAUCACCAGAAGCUACAUUUAAUCCAUAUUUUCAAACUGAAGAUCCAAAGUAGCUGUUUCUCAUUUCAACCUUAUCUAAGAAGAACGAAGAAUUGAAAGGGAGGUAUCAACGGUCAUUUGGAUAGCUCUGAGCAGUUGUCCUUCGUUAACAGAGUUGACAAAGUACAAGUGUACAACCACUACCUCCACUACUCUGUUUUUGUCCACGCUACAAGACAAGACAACAGCUAUGCCUGCAGAAUAUGUGCCUUCAAGAUGGGAAUGAAUUUGAAGCUAAUUCUUCAAAGGACUACACCCAAAUCAGGCAAAGGAUUACUGGUGGAUGAUCAAAGGAUUUCAAACGACUCUUUAGACGUGCUGAUUAUCUCAACGUCUCUUUCACACCUCUAUAUAAAGGAGUGAAGACUUGAAGAUGAUAUAGAGAAAUAUACAAGUUCAAAAGCGCCAAAACUCUGUCAAACUGAUUCUACAAAGCACACUGAAUAUCUGCACUGAUUUGAUACAUCUUAGAAAUUCAAAGUCUAGAGUCUUUAUUGUAUUGUAUUGAGAACACCACUGAUUGUAUAUCAAGUGUUCAAGUCAAACUCAAUUCUCUGUAUUUUUGUUUGAUUAGAAGUCUCUUGCCUGCGUGCUUGAGCAUUAGAAGUCUCUUGCUUAGUGCUUGAGCAUUGGAAGACUCUUGCGUGUGUGCUUGAGCAGUUUUGUGAAGUCUCAUACUUUGAUAGUAUUGAGCAUUUGUAAUCUUUGUGAUUAUAGUGAAAUCUCCUUGGAAGUGCAAGGGGGACUGGACUACUUCCGUGUUGUGGAAGGAACCAGGAUAACUGCUUGUGUUUUUGUUUUUCUUUUCUCUGCUCUGUUCUUUCCGCUGCAUAUCUGAUUCUGAUCAUUUCAUCAGAAGCACUCACAGUUUGCUUCUGAAGGUUUAUCAGAAGAAGAAUUUUUAGAAAAAGAAAACACAAUUCAACCCCCCCUUCUUGUGUUUUUCUCACCUUCAUAUUGAUUUUCACCAAGAUGCUCAAAAUAAGUGUUAAGUUGUGCCUUCAAAUCAUCAAGAGAGUCUGUCGGCGUUAUCAUAACGUUAACCGUCUUUUUAAACGCGGAGUACCUAACAUGCCCUUCAAUUUGUGCAACCUCAGACAUGUCUCACUUGACAAAAGCUUUAAGAAAAGAAUCAUAUAUUAGAACAAAAUUAAAUGAAAUGUAAUAACGAAUAAAUCAAGUGCGUAAACAUUAAUAACAAAUAAAUAAGUAUUGCACUAGUUUCACCACUUAAAAGUCAUAUUAUCAUAUAUAUCAAUAUAAAUUAUAUAAUGUUAAUUAUAUAUUGGCCACAAAAAAUUGGCGCUAUAAUUUCGACCCCAAAAUAUACGUCGGUGUAAUUUCUACAAAAAAUAAAGGACUAACACCGACAAAAAAAUCACUCAUUAAAGACCAAGUGAUCGGAGAAGAUCAAGUGACAUAGAAUCUUCCUCAUCUUCCGAAAUAACUUCAAAUUGUUGCUUUGGUUUUUUGGGAGUGUCCAACAAAAUAGGCGCCACUUUGUUUGACUCCUUUUGUCGUUUCAGCGGUUUAUUUCCACUUUCAAUAGCCAUGAGCUUUCGGAACAACUCAUGUUGAUCCAAAUACUCAUCUUCCCAAGUCACCGCAUCUUCUUUCUUGUGAUUGUGUCACUCCGUAGAUGAUGGAGGUAGUGACAACCAUUCUUCAAAUAAAUAAACACGAAAUGAUUCGGAAUUGCCCCAAAGCACAGGAUGGAGUUUUUUGAUUACCCGGCGGUGGUGGCCCUCUUUGUGGGAAAAAAGAUUCCGAGUUUCCAACUUUAAGAUUUGUCAACACAACCACACACCUUUUGUAAUAAUUAGCAACAAUGUGUCUCAUGUCCAUAUAAUAUACGUGAAGUCUGAAAAUUGGCCCUGUAAUUAAAUUACAUGUAUUUUGGCCAUGUAAUUCAAAAAAUUUAUUAUUUAUAACCCUGUAAUAUAUGCGAAGUCCAAAAAAGAAUUCGAGAGAUUGAAUUUUUUCAUGAUUUGUUAGAGGCGAGUUAAGAACGUUAAAAUACGGCUUUGCACAAAAAAUUUAUAAAUUUUCGACAAACGACAAAUUAAUUAUGAAUUUUUAAAGUGUCAAAAGCUCAAAAAAACAAAACAAUGGAAAUAUCGACCUAUAAAUCGAAUUUUGAGCUCAUUAUUUGUAGAGACAUCUAUAAAAAUAUAUAAAAAGGAUAUGUAAAGUUUCAUAUCAUUUCGAAGUCGUUUAAAUUUAUUAUGAUUUUUCAACCAAAACGUGCAAAAUUGAAAUUUUGUUCCGCGUAAGCGUAUACUCACAAGUCAAAUUUAGUUCCCUAAUUUUGUAGGCAUGACUAGAGUAUGAUAAGAACCUUCACAGUGAAAUUUCGUAGUCUUUAAACGAGAUACAAAUUAAUUAUAAAUUGUUUAAGAAAUUCAUAAUUAUGAGAGAAUGAAAAUUCAUAAUUAAUUUAUCUCUAGUCGAAGAAAUUUAAUUUUUUAUGUAAAGCUAUAUUUUAACGUGCUAAUCAUGUAUGAUAAAAAUAAUGAAAAAAUUCAACAUGUAGGUCACAUUUUUAGAAUACACGUAUAUUACAGGGUGGUCAAAAAUAUGAAGAAAUUCAAGUUACAAUGCUAGUAUAUAUGUUUUGUAUUUUUAACGGUCAUUUUUCAGACAUAAGGUAUAUUACAUAGUCAAUUUGAACAAUUAACCCGUUAAAAUAAGAGAGAUGAACCCAUCAAUUGUGUGCUAAAUAAAAAUCCGAGACCUAUUUGCCUGUGAGAAUUUUCAGAUUGCUUAAAUUUUUCUUUUUGUAAGUGUGCUAAUUGGCUUUUGGGUUGAGUCUAAUUUGCAAAAAUAAUCGAUCGAGCCCGGGCGACCGCCCGGGGUCGCCGGACGGUGAAACCGCCCAUGCGUAAGAUGUCCUUUGAACACAACCACAAAUGUCAUUGUCCAUGCACAAUGUUUCCCUACAACGUGUCUCUUCCAAAGCAAUGUUGUCCAAAGCAUAUCUAGACACAUGACCACCUAACCCCGAGUACAAAGUGACAUCUUUGAAUCUAUGUUCCAACACGCUAACGCUGUGACCAAUUGAUGUUUGUAUAGAAGUGAACUGAAGCAACAACAUGUCAUGUAUUUUCUCCCAACAAGUACCCAAAUCACCCACUCUAUUGUCCAAAUAUUUCUUCAAUAAAGCAUGAGCCAAUUUGAACCUGUUGUUGGUCCUGCAACCAAGAUGCAACACAUGGUAUGUCUAUGCCCUCACAAUUUUGUCCUUCACUUCAUUCAAGGUGGUCAUGGCAUAAUUUUUUAAAAUUAGGAAAUCACUACAUGAAUCUUGGAACUCCACUAAUGCAUUUGCAUAUAACUGUUGAGUGGGCGAUUCAACCAUAGAUUUCCAUUUCCUCAUUAUCUUCUUGACAACAUCGCGAUUACUCACCUCUUUCCCAUCCUUUUUUCCCAAAGGAUAUUUACAAUCUGAGACACACAUUUGUUUAACAUUUGCUUGCACAUGAAAGUAACAAUUCAUUGCAUAACUUUCGGGGAAACCAUUUGCAACCGCUUUCAUCAAAGACAUAUCCGUGUCGUUAACAAUCACCUUAGGCAUAUUCAUCUUUAACGUAAGAAGUUUACGCAACAUUUUUAAGACCCAAACAAAGUUUUCCUCUUCCUCAUGUGUCACAAAUCCAAACCCAACCGAAUAUGUCAAAUCGGUCGAAGUGACCUCAACUACCUCAAACAUUGGCAUCCUGUACAUGUUGGUUAUGUAGGUGGAGUCCAUAACCAAAACGGUUGGAAAAUUGUUAAAAAACUUAACGGAUGUUGGAUGAGCCCAAAAGAUAUCUUCGAUUGUAGUACUUUCACUUUGUGUUCUUGAGUAAUAAGAAUAGUUGUGCUCCUCCAACUUCGAGGUUAGAUAUUGCAACGGCUUCUUGUCACCUCUAUGUGCCUUCCAUAUUUGUUGACGUUCAUUGUACACUUGCUUCACAUUUGUCAUGCAAUGUGGUCUUUUGUUCUUCAAAUGUAUCAAAAUAUUUCUUGGAAACAUCUUGUUCUUGGUCAAGUCAUGUACAAUCUUCUUUUCGUCCUCCUUUAGUCUACCGGCAAGAAUGUGUCAUUCUAAAGCCGGCUCCAUCGCAUGGUUGUGAACUCCAUUAAGAAUGUUCAAUCCCCAUUCCUUUGUUUGCUUACUUUGAUAUCCACUAAUCAUGAACAAGCACCCACAUUUUCUUGAGCCCGUUCUCGCAUGCUUCGGUUUUUUUUUUUUUGGCACUUUGUGAGCUCCACUCCUUUCACACACUAGGCGGAACAUUGGAUUGAUCAAGCUUGAUCUUUGUGUAACAAUUGUAAAUCCCGCCUUAUUUGCUUGACGACGCGCCCACUCAAGCAAUUCUUCUCUAUCUUUCGACUUAACGUCGUCCGAAAAAAACCUAGUCGUGCCGACCUCGUGGGCUUGAAGUGGGAGGACACCGGAGCCGCCAACAUACUUUGAAGCUUCAACAUGAACGGAAGCUCCAUCAAUGUUUGGUUUCGCUUCAACCUUAGGCGGUUUGACAUCUCCGAAAAUUUCAACAAAAUUUGGUUUUGUCUCUCCCAGAACAUCUUCCGCGUUCUCUACCAUUACUAUAAUUAAACAACAAAUAAAUAUGAAUUAACAACUAACUAAUGCAUAAACAUCAAUGUCAUAAUGAAUUAAAAGAAAAAAAAUAAAAAAACAAAAACAAAAGAAAUGUUUUUUUUUUGAAAAAUGACAGUAGCUGCCAUUUUUUCGUUGUGAAAUUUUUUCACAAGUAUUCCUCGGUACCUUACUACCAAGGUUUUCCUCGGCACUACACUACCAAAGUUUUCCUCGGUAGUUAACUGCCGAGGUUUCCCAUGACAGAGUUCUACGUAACUGACGUAGAUACCCAUAACAAAAUCAAAAAAUGAACGGAUUAAAAUGCUCAAUACCUUUUUUUUUUACGUCAAAUGUGUGUUGAUACCUCCUAUGCUUGACGCUUGAAUGAUUUUGGAUCUAGAUUUGAUGAAAAAAAUAUUGAAUUUGGGGAUUGACUGAAGGUGGUAUUGAAGUUGAUGAUGAAAAUAGUAUGUAGGGGGGAGCAUGUGGCUGUUUCAUCUGAUGAAACAUAUUCCUCGGCAGUUAACUGCAGCCGGUUUCUUAAUUCCUUGGCAGUUAACUUCUGAGGGGACAAAAACGUAAAUUACUCGUGUGCCUCAGCCUUAUACAAUGUGUCAACAGUAAUUCUCCUUCUUCUUCUCCUUGUUCUUUUUCCUUUACAUGACUUUCUCCAUUUCAUUUUCCCCCCUCUUCUUCUUCGUGAAGGUUUCUUAAAAUUAAAAAAUUAUACACCCAUUCUCAUGGUAAUCAUUUUCAAUUCAACCGUGAAUGUCCUCCUUCUCCCUUCCUAAUUAUUCCCUAAUUCAAUUCACCCUUCCUCUUUUUUUUUUUUUUUUUUUUUUUUUUUUUUAAGAAACAAAAAGACAACUUAUUAAGAACAAAAAAGAGUCUAUCAUAUGCUCUAUAUUAUUUCUCGAGCCAUUUGAGUCUAUCAUAAAAUAUAAAACUCAAAAAAUCUAAGGCAAACUAAUAGAAGAAAUAAGAAAAAAAACUUUGAUAAGUCUUGCAAAGGACGAAGACAUUUCAAAAAGAGUGAAAAUAUUUGCAUAUUAGUCGUAUCAUUUAUAAAUACUUUGCAAUAUUUUUUAUUGAAAAAGUCAAUGUAACAUAGCAAGUGGAAUGUUAAUUAACUUGGGAUAUAUAUGUGAUGUUCUUGUUUGAGAAAUUUUGGAGAAAUAGAAGGCAAGAGCCCCUACCUACAACCACCCAUUCCCUUUAUUUCAUUUUCCUUUCCUAUCCUAGUAUUCAAAGCUCUCUCUCUCUCUCUCUCUCAAAUCGUUGUUCGGUUUCUUAGCUACACGACCAUACAACCAAGCAUUUUCUCGAUUCAUCAAUUAUUUAGUGAAAUAUUUACUAGCAUUUUUUAUAUGAAAACAUUUUAUUCUAAUUAAGUUUGUCCAAGAAUAAUCCAGUUAUUCGGUUCUAUGUUUAGUUUGGAUUUUUUUUAUUAUAUUGUGCAAGACAAUAAAAUGCAUACAUUUUGUAAGUAAACGGAGAUAAGAUUUUUAUGAUCAUCACUUCAGGCGUAACAGUAACAGUACAAUCUUAUAUGUAUGGUAACAUGUCUAACCGUAUAAACUUUGCAUGAUACUAAUUACUUCCAUGUAAUUGAGUUAGAAGAAGCGGUUCUCUCAAGUUAUAUUCGUUAAAUCAACUUCAUCACUUGGCUUUUAAUCCAAAAUGAUCAACAAAGUGUGAAAGAAAAAUAUCUUUAAUUCAACAUUAGUUACUUAACUUGAUAGAAAUAAUUAUAUGUAAAUAGUCCGAAAAUUAAAUUAUGUGAGUCAGUUAAUAGAUUAUGCACCUCUAUCUGUUAGUUUCGGUCCCUUUUCCAUGUUGCCUGGUGACAUCCAUUUUCUACCUUGACACAAUAUGAGAAUAUCAUCAUGAUACCAUUUAUAAGAAAGAAAAAAAGAUAAAAUCACUAAAUGUAGAAGGAAAUAAAAAAUUGGAAUCUUUCAAAUAGAAGAAAACAAAAAAUGUGUAAGACCAAAAAAGAGUGAGAAUAGGGGGUUGCACCCUCAGCAAAGCCACCAUGAGUUUGGUUGUCCUGUCAUUGCCACUGUGUCGGUCACCUUACAUUAUGUAUCAUUUCUUAGUGAAAUGCAUUUAGUCUUUAGUUCCAAUCAAUAGGUUGGAUCUUUAAUUUUGAGCCAGCUCGUAGAUGAAACACAAAAUCAAAGAAAAAAUGAUAAGAAAAAAAAAGCAUGAAAUAGAAACAAAAAAUAGAAGUAUACAAAUUGAAGAAUAUAUAGUUAAAAUUAAAAAUAUUUAACAAUAUAAUUAAAGAAUAUGAAACUCCAUUUAGACGUGGUGCUGAGGAUAUUGGUAUGAGAUGAUUUCUUUUUGAUGAAAGAGUAAAAACCUGUAAUAGAAAAUCAAAAGGAGGAAUGAGCAUAUAAAAAUAUAAUUCAGGAAAGAAAACUAAAGAAACAAAUAGUAAAAAAGCCCGACAUUUAUAGGGGUUGCACCGUCGACGCUGUGAUAACCCGUUGUACUAACAAUUAAUGAUGCCUCCUUUGUCUUCAAAUCAACCAUAUUGCUCCUUUUCGCUGGCAGCCUAGGAUACCACCAUCCUUCCCCUUUUUUCAUUUCUCUAUCUCGAAGGCGAAAGACCAAUUUCCACACCGACUCUAUGCGGCUGUCACAGUACUGCUGCCUUCACCACAUACGUCAAUCUCAAUUUUCCUGUUAAAAAACUUUGUUGCGAUGCUCUGUUGAUAUUCCUUAUUUAUUCCUAUUUUUGUUAUCUCACUGUUUCGGACCAUUCCUCAAAAUACCCUAAUACCUCUCAUGUUUAUAUACCGCUUUUAAUUACAUUGUUUUUGAAAUAUUAGUUAGAAUAAAAUAAGAAGAUUAAACAAAGAACAGAAUGAAAAAAUGAACAAAACACCCUUGAUAAUUGGUACAAUACAGUUCUUUUAGCAUACAUUGAAAUCAAUAAGGAAACCUCUAUGUCUAUCUUGGAUGAUAGCAGCACCUCCACUCAUCCCCUUCCAUGAUCUUGUGGACUGCUUCAUAUAGAAACAAGAAAAAAAAAAUAGCCAUUAUUAAAGAGAUAAAAUUAGCAGAUGAUAAUGAUAUGAGAGAAAUUCAAACUAAAAAUCAUCCACAUAUAUGACAUGGUUAUAGGAUAUUCCCUAUGAGCACAAACACAUGCAUUGAACACAACACGGAGACAUCUAUAGAUGUAAAUUUAAAAAAUAAAAUAAAAUAGAUUAAUCGGAAAAACUAAAUUUAGAUGCAUCUUUGACUUCAUCAAUGGAUCAAUAUUGCUCUUGCCCAUUUUAUUACCAAGAAUAUAAAAACAAUUAAACCAAAGAAUAGGAUGUCAUCAUAGUUCAUGUUGAAGAAUAGGAUGUGUUGUGCUAUUGCCCAUUUCCUGCAUGUGUGUUGUGGAUCGAGUAAAAAUUAGUAUGAAAUUAAUAUGAACAAAAGAAAUAUAAUUCAGUUUUAGUACCUUUAAAAACUACAAAAGCUAGAACACAAAAGUCUGUUGCAAACACACCAUAAGAGACCGUAUAGUCAGAAAGAAAAUACAUAGAAUUGGAGUAUUUGACAAAAUAGAUAUCACCACACACCGAGUUAGGUUGUUGCUUUUUUUGUUCUUCCUUUACAUUGAUUUUUUUUUAAUGUUGUAGUAGGCAAAAAUCUCUUCCAGAUUAAUUGAAAAAUACGUUAAUUGUCUAUGGGACUCCUCCACCGCAUGUUUCUCCCUUUAAAAUAAUGAAGUAGAAAAAUGAGGAUAAGCCUAUAACACAAUUGAAGAAAAAAAAUGAUGUUUGUGUAUAAUGGAGAAAGAAGCACAAUAGAAGGGACAAAAAUCCGUUAUGUUGUGCAUUGGAAACCGUUGCCUUUGCGGUAACUUAUUGAUCUCAAAUUGAUGCCAUAACAAGCAGCCAAUCACUAAGAUUCAUGUCUUCUGUUUUUCUGUUCAAAACAAAGCAUUUGCCCUCAACGACCACAAUGCAAACAGGCAUGAACUCAACAGUCGCUCCAACAAUCUCACCAAUAAUCAAACACUAAAUAAACACAAAAAACUGCACAGAACAAAGUAUAAAUUAAGAAUGUCAAAAAGUAAUGAGAAUCAAAACCAAAAAAAAAUAAAAAAUAAAUAAAUUUAAACAAACGAGAGUUUUCAAGAGCCAAGUGAUUAUAGUGGUUGAUUCGUUUAGACAAAGUUGUUGUUAUAGAAAUUUAUGAAGUGAAAAGAGAAACACGAAUUCAAUCAUCCCGUCAGAUUCCAUCAUUCUUUCUAUUCAAGUUUCUCAUGUUUCAUCUUUUUACGUUGUUGUUCUGUCAAGAUUGUGCAGCAGUUCUUUCUUGGUAGUUUUUGAGUUUGAAUGAGAGGCAUCAGUAAAAAAAAAUAAGAUAGGUAGUUAUCGAUGAAAUUACUAUAAUGCACUGGUUUACAAAUUAAGUUUGAGAAGGAAAAUGAAGGACAUUUUUGGAAAGAAAAUAGGCUAUACCAAACCAAAGUAUUGGCUUUAUUAAUAGGUAUAGAUAUCGGUUUCUUUUGACUUGAAAAAAAAAAAAAAAAAAAACUAAAAUGACUUACUUGAUAUAACUCGGACAAAAAGAGCAAAAUUUAUUUAACAAUUAAUUAAUUUACUAAUAUUUAUCAUCAUCAUUAUAAUGAUAAUGAUAAUAGCAAUUAUGAAAGACUAAUUUAUUACAAAUAUUUAACUUUUUUUUGGUUCUACUAAUAUUUAACUUGAAAAAGGUAUGCGAAGAAAGGAAGAAAAAAAAAGUAGGGUUAAUAGGUCUUUACCCCCUGUAAUAUAGGUCAUUUCCGAUUUUCCCCUGUAAAAUAUUUUUUUUGAUUUACCUCCUUGUAAUUUUUUUUUGUUUUGAUUUACCACUUAAUAGGCCAAACAAAAACGAAAAAAUCAAAUCUUUUUACAGGGGGUAAAUCGAAAAAAAUAUUUUAAAUGUAUUAUAAUAUUUGAUGAAGACGCGUUAUAUGUUCAAAAUACAUCGCUUUCAAAACUAAAACUAAAAAGGUAUUCGAAGAAAGGAAUAAAAAGGUAUUGACUUUUGUAUUUCCUUGCAAGCGAUGGGAAGGUGCAAAGACGCGUUAUAUAUUCAAUCAGUUGAUACAAAAAGUAUAUCAUCUCAUUCAUUUUUUCCUUCUCACUUUCUUCUUUGAUACCAAACUUCAUCUUUCAUAUCUUUCAGUUUGUUUUUCCACUAAUUACUAUCCUUGAUAUCUUGUUCUUGUGCUUCACUUUGUUUGGGAGAUCUUUCAAGUUUUUCACUUUGUUUGUUCCACUCACUUUCAAGUAAUUUCUCUCUUUAAAUCUUACUAAACACAUUUUUUACUCUUUAUUUCCGUUUUUACUCAAAUUUCAUAUUUCACAUUUUUUUUAUACUUUAUUUCCUUGGCAGAUCUCAGUUUGUGUUUUUGUGACAAAGAUCUCAGUUUGUUUCUUCUCACACUUUCAGAUACUCUCUUACUUUCUUAACAACAGUUAAUCUUUUAAAUCAUGUUACGUGAUCCAUCCUAGUUAUACUUAUAUUUAUAUUUAAGUUAAUUUUGAUUAACAAAAGUUAAUAAUUCUAACUAUGUUACGUGAUCCAUCAUAGUUAUCCUUUUUUUUUUUUAAGGACCAUCCUUGCUAUACUUAUAUUUAAGUUAAAUAUGAAAAUGAUUUUUUUUUUAAAUGAUUUUAUUUGAAAUACUAUUUUAUACUGUCUCUAAAUCUUUCUCUAAUUUUUUUUUUUAUAUUCUCUCAUUACUUAGCAGAUCUCAGUUUGUGUUUUUCCGACAAAGAUCUCCGAUUAUUUGUUCUUACACUUUCAGGUACUCUCUUCUUUGUUAAUAAAAUUUAAUGUUUCAAAUUAUGUCAUGUGAUUUGUCCCGGUUAUACUUAUGAUAAUGAUUUUUUUGAGGGUUAAUUAUAUAUUUUUAAGGGUUAGUUAUGAUAAUGAGCUUUUUUUAAGGGUUAAUUGGAAUAAGUGAACUACAAAAUUACAAUACUAACCUUCUACUUUAAACAGUUGAUGCAAUUUUCUUAAAAAAAAAAAACCUUUAUGUGCGUAAAAAAAAAUUGUUAAAAAAUUAAUUAACUCUUACAUAUUCUCAUUAAUUUUUUUAAUUAACUAACCUACUGAUUGAAAUUCACACAUUUUAAAUACGGUGAAAUGGAAAGUUGAACCCAACCCCUACAUAUAAUUGUCCUUGUAACUAGCAAUUGAGUUGCACUUACGAGAUAUAUUCUCUUUUAUCAUAAAAGAUAAUAAACUGUCUUCAAUCCACAUAUUAAUAUUCCUUUUGAUAUGAUUAUUUUCACGUUAUUUUUCGGCGAAUGAAUCACUAAACAGUCUCUUUCAAAGAUGCAAUUGAUACAAGAGACAAUUGUUUAUCAUUAAACAAUUAAUUUACUUUAAUAUUUUUGUUUCUUCUGAAUAAAAACAAGAAUGUUUUAAUAUACUAAUUAUUAUUUAUUAUAAAAAUCAUACAUGAGACAAAAAUAUAUCACUAAAAAAUGAUUAAAAUUUAAUGUUUUUUAAUAUAUAAUGGGAAAUGUUAACGAGUGCCCCGGACACUUGUUAAGGGAAUAUAAGAAGAAAUAUUCUCUUGGAAAUUGUGUAUUCUACUCUUUCUCUAACAAAUUCCUAUUUUUUUUUGUAGACACUCUUCUUUUAAUAUGUUAUCUUUCUCUUGUAACAAACAAUUUUUAGUUAGUAUCUCUUCUCCAACAAAUUUCUAUUUUUUUUUUUUGUAAACACUCUUCUUUUAAUAUGUUAUCUUUCUCUUGUAACAAGCAAUUUUUAGUUACUAUCUCUUUUUUCAACAAAUUUCUAUUUUUUUUUUGGAGACACUCUUCUUACAAUUGUCAAUUUUUUAAAUAUUUAGCAAAUCUCUUUAAUUAUUUUAAGUCAAUUUCCAAUGAGCCUUCCACUCUUUCUUCCUUUUGAAAAUUCAUGACGUCUUUUUUUUUUUUUUUUCCUUAGAUCGGUUCUUUUACUUAGCACUUGAAAUUUUUAACAACUACUCCUCAUCUUAUUUAUAAAAUGUUAACUCUUCAUGAAACCAUUAUUAUAGGUAACAAAAUUUUGUAUAAAUUUGAGGAUAACAAGAAACAAACUUUUUUUUUUAUUUUUUAAAAACUUUAGUUUUCUCAAUACAUAACAUUAAUUAGUUUUUUUUAGCUGUCUAUGUCAGGUGCUCAUGUAUAUAUUAUUAAAAAAAAUACAAAAAAGAAUUGGGGGGACAUAAACCUAACCCAGUCAAUUCACUGAAAGUGUAUGUCAACCCAAUUGAGUAAUACAAAGAAAUAAAACAACACCGGUGAAUGUCUAACUUGCGGUGUAUGGACCAACCGUCAACACGAAAUGGAUCCAAGAACCAACAACUCUUUGCAACAACAGCAAGAAUAAUGUCUCUUUCGAGCCAAACAGUCCAGCAUCAAAGACUGAUGAGGAUUUUGAAACCUCCCCCAAGUUAUAGUGCUAAACUUUGUGAAGGUGAGAGAUUCGACCGCCAACACGGAUACAGAACCCACGCCUACAACCCGCUAUGCUGCGACAGAAAGCUUCACGACCAUUUCUAGCCAAAUCCAAUAGAAAGCAACUCAAAUCCAAUUGAAGGCCAGAUUGAGGGAUGGUCAAUCAACGAGUCUGAGCACCGCGAGCACCGCCAAAAUAGUAACACCCGCACCCACCAUUCGCAGCAACAAUGGACAACAGGUUCAAGACCAUUUCUAGCCUAGAAGACAUGUUAGGAAGCACAUCAUGAUCUUGAAGGAGCAAUACAGACGAGCAUCAUAAUCAAACAAGAGACUGAUCUUAACAAAACCAAAACCAUCUUUUCAGUCAUGGUAUAUGAACUGACCGCCAACACGGACAGAUUCACGGACAAACUGCCCCUGCAACAACAAAGCACAACAAGCAUUCCGACUCUUUCGAGCACAACAAACUCUGACUGCAAUGACGAGUCAUCUGAACUACGUCAAGACGAAUCAGCACAGCGAGUCUUACGAUUCAACAGGAGCAUGGCGUGUCCCCUGAAGGCAGCCACACUGUCUUUUUUUAGAGCUUCAGUGGCAUGAGCCACCGCCUUUGAGACCAAAAUCUUUUUCGAAUUUUUUUAUAAUUUUUCAAAAAUUUCAAAUUAUAUUAAAUUUGUGAUUUUUUAAAUUUUUUGUUAAUUUAAAAAAUGAUUUUUUUAUUUAUUUUCAAAAUUUAAUUUUCAGAUUUUUUUUGUUUUUUUAAUAAAAUCUGACGCGGAUAAUCAUUAAUACACGUGGCUAACAAAAAAAUAUUCAUGUCAGCGUCACGUAGGAGAUUCUGGUGAGUCACAUGGGUCGGGGACAAAUUUGAAGAAUCUUUAUUUUUCAAGGACCAAAUCUAAUUUUAUUUUUACAGGGAUUACAGGAGAUAAAACACUAUUAACUUAAAAAAAAAAAAAACAUGCUUUUGUUAAAGAAAUCAACUCUUACACAUUCUUAUUCAUUUUACAAAAUGAUAAAUUUUCAUUGGUCAACUUAAUGUCCUUUUUGGUAUAUUUCUCAUUAUAUUCACGUUUUGUUAUGCAAAUGAUUCACUAAAGAGCAUUAUUGAAAGAUAUAAUUCAUACACGGGACAAUUACUUAUUAUUAAUCAAUUAAUUGAAUUAAUUUAUUUUGUUUCUUCGAAGUAAAAAAUGAAUAUUUUAAUACAGUAAUUAUAAUUUAUUAUAAAAAUUAUUCAUGUGAAAAAUGUACAUCGCUAAAAAAUAUCUAAAAAUUUACCAAAAAAAAAACUAAAAGUUAAUGUUUUUUUAGUUUCUUGUACAUAUUCAAAAAAAAAAAAAACAAUUAUAUAUACUAAUAAUAUUUUUUUUUACAUUUCAUUGUUUAUUUUUCUAAAUGGGUCACAAAAGAGAGAAAUUGGAACGAACCCUUCUUCAUAUACAUGGAACAACUUUUUAUCACUAAUCGGUGAAAUUUAUGUUUCUAAAUACCAAAUGUUAGUAAGAAAUCAUAACUGCUAGAAUUUAAAUAAAAAGUGUUAGUAAAAUUUUGGCAAAAUUACGCAAUUAGUUCUCUAACUUAAUUUUAAGUAACGAUUAAGUCUUUUAUCUCUUUUUUUCUUCUUUCCAUUUUAAUCCUUUGUUCUAAAAUAUGAACAUUAUCAUCCUUUUUUUUCGUAAAAAAACCAUAAAUCCAGAAAACUCAUCACAGAAUGCUGAUCUUCAUAAAGAAAAAAAACUCAAGUUCAUUAAAAAAGCCAAAAACUAAAGUUCAUCUUCAUAUAAACCCAAAAUUUCAUCAAAUCUAAAACCCAAAUAUUCAAAACAAACUCAUAUUUUCAAAGUAACUCAAAUCUUCAACUUUUUAUUUUACAAAGAGUCAAUUAAUUAUUCCCAAAAAGAAUUCCAAAUCUCCAAAACUGAAAUAUAAACAAAAACUCAAAGAUAUGAAUUGGUGUUUGUUGUUCCUACUUGUAAUCGAACAAAAUUGGUGUUCAUUGAUGUUGGUUGUUGCAUAUAAACAUUGUUAUUGUUGUUGCCAUAUUCCAAGAUCUCAGGUUUUGGGUUUUGAAAAACUAACUACAACAACGUUAACCUGGUGGAAGGUUUUCUCAAAAUUGGGAUUUUAGAAAAAUAAUGAUGAAACAAUUGAACAUUAAAAUUAAAAUAUGGACCAUGAAGAUGAUAUGGAUUAUAAAAAAAUUGUGUUGAAUAUUUCAAACUUCCCUAUAUAUAUAUAUAUAUAUAUAUAUAUAUAUAUAUAUAUAUGGGACUGUUAACUUACACUCAUCUAAAAAUAUUAAGGUGCAAGUUAGCAAGCUACAUCUACCUAAAAUUAUUAAGGUGCAAGUUAGCAACCUACACCCACUUGAUUAUUUACACUCAUUUUUAUAAGUAUUAUUAAGGUGCAAGUUAGCAACCUUCACUAAUUUACACUCACUUUCAUCAUUUCAAAUAUUAUUUCCUUAAAAGUUUGUCUUUAUUACAUGUUUUGUAUCUUAAGCAUGUCAUUGUCUUUUUUGUUUCUUUUUUUAAGGAUUUUUUUUAAGCUAGUUGCAAAAUUGCCCUUCUAUUUAAAAUUAAUUAGAAUACAAACAAAAGGGUGUUUUAGUAAAUUAUAAGUGGGUGCAGCUUGCUAACUUGCACCUUAAUGUUUUUAGGUGGGUGUAAGUUAACAGCAGCCUCAUAUAUAUAUAUAUAUAUAUAUAUAUAUAUAUAUAUAUAUAUAUAGGGAGCAUAUCCUACGAGAACCAAUAUCUUAUAUAAGAAACGAGAACUAUAUUAACCAUCAGAUUUAAUUAACGUCAAAGAUUUAAUUAUUUGCUUAAAAUCUCGCAUGUAAUUGAUACACACAAUCACAACUUAAUAAAUUUUGUUCUCGGUUGUGCACGAAUUUCUGCACAGUUUACUCCCUCCAGUUUCGUUUUAUGCAUCUCCUUUGUUGCUCAUAUCUUUAUGCAUCUUCUUUGUUGCUCAUAUCUUGACAGCACGAACAUGCUUCUUAAAAUAGACUAUGUUUCUCCAUCUUGAUUUGAGAGUAUUUUUUUUUAAUCGAAGCUUAAAAUACUUUUCAUAAUUAAAAUUUACUUAUUUUGAUUUAUAAUUUAAGAUCGAAUGCAAUAAGGUGGGUAAGCCACAUGAAAUUUUGGAGAAUGGGAAUGGCGACAACAUGUACCAAAGAGAGUGUAAAACCUAAUUGUAAUGAUUUGGAAUUUUGGGGAGAGCCAAUAAACUGAGUGUUAAUAUUUUAGGGUGAGUAUAGUGCCACAGGAGAUUUAAAGCAAAUAAUUAAACUAAACUAUGUAGAAGAUGAACAAAAUAAAGCGUAAAACCUAAUCUGGGAAUUAUUUGAAGAUAAAGUGAGUGCUACUUAUGGGGAAAUUCUGCCUAAAUUGUAGCUCAAUUUAUUAACUUGUGAUUUUGUAUAUCAAUUAUACAGAAUGUUUUAAGAAGGUAAUUUAAUCUUAUGCGUUAAUUAAAUCUGAUGGUUGAUAUAGAAAGUUCUCGUUUCUCAUAUAAGAUAUUGGUUUUCACCGAAUAUACUCCCUAUAUAUAUAUAUAUUGAAAUUCCCCUAUCAUUAGAAACAAGGUUUUCUGACAAAAUAAUAAAAUCUG
rnacentral:lncRNA from 1 species